rnacentral:rRNA from 1 species
AGCAGCCGCCGCGGUAAAACAGAGGGUGCGAGCGUUACUCGGAAUUACUGGGCGUAAAGCGUGCGUAGGUGGUGGUUUAAGUCCGUUGUGAAAGCCCUGGGCUCAACCUGGGAAUUGCAGUGGAUACUGGGUCACUAGAGUGUGGUAGAGGAUAGUGGAAUUUCCGGUGUAGCAGUGAAAUGCGUAGAGAUCGGAAGGAACAUCUGUGGCGAAGGCGACUAUCUGGGCCAACACUGACACUGAGGCACGAAAGCGUGGGGAGCAAACAGGAUUAGAUACCCGAGUAGUCCCUGUCUCUUAUAC